rnacentral:hammerhead_ribozyme from 1 species
AUCCAGAGGACGAGUCCCUAAUAGGAUGAAACACGAGUCCUGGAU